rnacentral:rRNA from 1 species
AGUUUGAUCAUGGCUCAGAUUGAACGCUGGCGGCAUGCCUUACCCAUGCAAGUCGAACGGCAGCACGGGAGCUUGCUCCUGGUCCCUGAGGAGGAGACAACGGGUGAGUAAUACAUCGGAACGUACCCAGGAGUGGGGGAUAACGUAGCGAAAGUUACGCUAAUUCCGGAGAGGGGCGGUGAGCAGGAAAGCGGGGGAUCGCAAGACCUCGCGCUCUUGGAGCGGCCGAUGUCGGAUUAGCUAGUUGGUGAGGUAAAAGCUCACCAAGGCGACGAUCCGUAGCAGGUCUGAGAGGAUGAUCUGCCACACUGGGACUGAGACACGGCCCAGACUCCUACGGGAGGCAGCAGUGGGGAAUUUUGGACAAUGGGGGCAACCCUGAUCCAGCCAUGCCGCGUGAGUGAAGAAGGCCUUCGGGUUGUAAAGCUCUUUCGGCCGGGAAGAAAUGGCGGGGGCUAAUAUCCGUUGUUGAUGACGGUACCCGCAUAAGAAGCACCGGCUAACUACGUGCCAGCAACCACGGUAAUACG